CAGUAGUGUGGUCCCAGCAGAGUCCCACACCGAGGACCAGAUCACAAGGUUUUAGGUAGAAAAUGGCAGACGACAGUGUCCAUGAAAACAGAGAGGGCUUGGGGGGGGUCCCAGGCUGGGCAGUCUUGAGAGAGGCGGGGCCAGACACAGGUUGUGCGCGGCUCGCUCUAGCAACGUGUGGAGGACGAGUCUGAAGGAGGCAGGAGGGCAGACAGGGAGAUUUUGAGCGGAGUAUGUUAACAGCCUGAACCAGGAUGAAGAAAUGGAGAGUGCCUGGAGAGGUAUUUAGGGCGGAAGCAGAUGAGGUCACGGGACUGGUAAGUAGCGACACUGGGAAUCCACCCAGGAGGAUGUGACUUGAGAGCCCCAUUCCCAUCACCCAGGAUGCACAAGCUGAUGCAGUGAACAGAAGAGGAACCCAAACGUGCUUCCAGAUAUUUCUCUCCUCAGCCCCUACAUCUCCCACCCCCUCUGCCCCCGGGUGGGACAAAGGUUCUCAUGUCUAGAGUUUCCUUCUCUGCUCUGAACUAGUCACCCACAAAUCUCUGCUUUCCAUGAGAAUGCCUGCCCUGGAAGGUCCUAUCUACUCUCCUCCAUUUUCCAUGGAACCGCUUAGAAAUCCCACCCGUCAGCCUCACAAAACUACAUUUCCCAGACUGCUCUGCUCACCGGGAAGGAGAACAAAAAUCCCAUGUCAAAGCAUGUGGCUCCUAUUUUGGGGUCGGAAAAUCUGGUCACUAGCUUGGAUAAAGCCAUGAGAACUCCGCUUGUGCAGACCGGGGAAAUGAGUGCCUCAUUACUCAGCCAACUGGAAUGUGGGAGAAUUAGAUCUCAAGAAAAAUGACCCAUGAAUGGACCCUGGUGAUCCAGGGCCUUGAAGGUUCAGAGGUGCUUCCUCCUGAGUCCGCACUGGCCCCAAGCUUUCCUUCCCGUGCCUUCUGCAGUUACCAUUUACAGGACACUCGCUACGCGCUGAGCACGGUGCUCAGUGCUCUCCCGCCAUCAGCUGAUUUUCUCAUCUUCACAACAGUCCUGCAGUAAAUGACAUCCGGAAGGAAGCAGCCCAGGCUGCUACCACAGCUUCAUAACCAUCAGACUGGGGCUCCUCCUGACUGGGGCUCUCCAUCCUCAGUGCAUGCCUUCCACUUGUGACCCAAGACACUGCUGGAGGAGGAAGGAGCCAAGAAGAAGGCCACUUCUCCUCCAAGGACACUUCCUGGAAUUCCCUUCCGCUUAUCCCCCACUAACCAGAACUAACUCCCAAGGUCCCUGGGAAAUAGGGUAUUAUCAAAGUAGGGGUUCUAUUCCCAUGGCCAAGGGGGUGAACAGAUAUGGGGGGCCCACUGGCCUCUCUGCCACGUUUCACAAACUUCUUUCCAGUGUGUAUAGUUUUGUAUCCUGGUUUUUUCUCUCUCUCUCUUUUUUUUUUUUGGUG
rnacentral:lncRNA from 1 species